rnacentral:rRNA from 1 species
CUCCUACGGGAGGCAGCAGUAGGGAAUCUUGCGCAAUGCGCGAAAGCGUGACGCAGCAACGCCGCGUGGGGGAAGAAGGCUUCGGGUUGUAAACCCUUUCAGUUGGGACGAAGCUUCACCGGUUAAUAGCCGGUUGGAGUGACGGUACCUUCACAAGAAGCACCGGCUAACUACGUGCCAGCAGCCGCGGUAAUAC